UUUAAAAAAAAAAAAAAAGGGAGAGAGGAACAAUAGACCUAAACUGACUUAAAGAAACAAACGGUUAGAAGAAAUGUUGCUACUGCCAAUAAUUUUUUCCGAACAACAAAAUCACAUCUGCACAUAAGAACAAUCUAAAAUGCGCUUUAUUUAUUGAAAAGGCCAUUUCAGUGUACGUUAGGAGAACUUACAGACUAUCUGAAGCAGUGGGUAUCAAGUCUUCUUAAUGGAAAUCGUCCAAAGAAGAUCCGAACUUGAUUGUACUGUUACCUUUUCUCCUCUGACUAUGUUAGACGUACUUACUAGACCACCAAACCUCAUCUCCAUGUCAUCUGAAAGAAACGAAAUCUAAAUUUUACCAUCCAUGAUACUUGUAUGUACAUCAUAUAAUCUGGGAUCAUAAUUUAUGUGAACUGUCUUAAUCAUGUUAAAAUAAAAAUUUGAGAAUUACUAAAUUAGCAAAUUGCUGGAAACGCCGAUGUUUUUAGCUCUGGUUGUUUAAUCACCAUUCACCAUCAUUGUAUAACAUAAGAUGGAUGGAAGCUGCAGUGUCUUAAGCCAGGCAAAACACAAAACAAAAGAGGCCAACACUUGAUGCCUGUACAGAGUUAGAUGACAAGCAUACUGAAUUGCUGGUAUAACAAAGACUUGAUUUAGAGAGAAUGGUGCCCAGACAACACUAGAGUCAGAUUUGAGCUCAGCCAGUUUCAGCUUUAGCUGAGAAAGUAAACACCAAAAUAUUUUAAUACUAUAUACUUACUGAGAUCCCAUUGGAGUCCAGUUGUUGUGGUAUUUCCAGAUGGCAUCCCUAUGGGAAUGAGUCCACAAUGUGGACCCUCAACAGAAGAUUGGAUAUAAAUCUCAUGAUAGUGAGACCUUGGAAGGAGGUAGAUGAGGCAAUCAUUAGAUAUAAGAAUUAUUCGCAUGGUUGAGAACCGAUACAGAACAUUAAUGUUUCCAGCCUCAUGGUCAAAUCGUCCCCCAAGUGCUCCAGCUACAAGAACGCAAAGAUUAGACUUGUCCAAGUCUGGAGUGAAGUCACGAAUAUAUGAAAUGCACUUAUGUAGAUCUGUGGUGUCCUGAUCAUUAGAUUCAUCAACCACCUUGGUUCCCAGGCUGGUAUAAAAAUCCCGUACUUCCAUUCGGAUUGAAUCCAUGUCUCCCUCAAUUACAUCAGGCUUGUACCUGUGUCGAACAUCAAGAGCCUCUUCGUGCGGGAACAAAAAAGGCAUUUCAUCGUAGACUCGGUUGGCACCUCCAUCUGCACAGACGCGUAGUCGUGAGUGCUUCCAGAGGAGAGGAAUGAACCGCGGAAGUCGCUGGUUAAGCACGACGAGGACGUAGGUAAAAGAAGGGCGGUGGUCGCCGGAGAUCGUGGGAAGGAGGAAGGCGGAAGAAUGGGCCAUGAGUUCCAUUUUGCCCGAGUUGUGGAGGGCGGUUGCGUUUGGCAGGAACGAGAAAAUAAAAAAUAAGUAAGAUCUUGCUUUCUUCCUUGGCAGGAGUCGGCUUGGUUAAAGUCAAAACUAUGACUCUUCUUUAGCCCCGACUCCAACGCGCGCGCGCUCUCCCCUUUCUCC
rnacentral:misc_RNA from 1 species